UACAGAGGUCUCAAGCGUUGUUCGGAAUCACUGGGCGUAAAGGGUGCGCAGGCGGCGCGGAAAGUCAGAUGUGAAAUCCGGAGGCUCAACCUCCGAAUUGCAUCCGAUACUCCCGCGCUAGAGAUUUGUAGAGGAGCUUGGAAUUCUCGGUGUAGCAGUGAAAUGCGUAGAUAUCGAGAAGAACGCUCGCAGCGAAAGCGAAGCUCUGGGCAACAUCUGACGCUCAUGCACGAAGGCUAGGGGAGCAAACGGG
rnacentral:rRNA from 1 species